AGCGAACGCUGGCGGCAGGCCUAACACAUGCAAGUCGAACGAACUCUUCGGAGUUAGUGGCGGACGGGUGAGUAACACGUGGGAACGUGCCUUUUGGUUCGGAAUAACUCAGGGAAACUUGUGCUAAUACCGAAUGUGCCCUUCGGGGGAAAGAUUUAUCGCCAUUAGAGCGGCCCGCGUCUGAUUAGCUAGUUGGUGAGGUAACGGCUCACCAAGGCGACGAUCAGUAGCUGGUCUGAGAGGAUGACCAGCCACACUGGGACUGAGACACGGCCCAGACUCCUACGGGAGGGAGCAGUGGGGAAUCUUGCGCAAUGGGCGAAAGCCUGACGCAGCCAUGCCGCGUGAAUGAUGAAGGUGCUAGGAUUGUAAAAUUCUUUCACCGGGGACGAUAAUGACGGUACCCGGAGAAGAAGCCCCGGCUAACUUCGUG
rnacentral:rRNA from 1 species